GCCAAAUCUCUAGCCUCACAUACCAUGCACAUACAAUAUUAAUUUCCUUUCUCCCCCAUAAAACAUUUUAUUAAUUUAGUAAAGGCGAUAAAAAAAUUUUUUAGAGCAAUAUAAACAGUACCGUAAGGGAAUGAUGAAAUAAAAAUGAAAUAAUUCUUAAGCACAAAAAAGUAGAGAUUUCUCCUCGUACCUUUUGCAUCAUGGUUUAACUAGUCCUUUUUAGGCAAAAAGACUUUUAGUCUAACCUCCCGAACCUAGGCGAGCUACCCUAAGACAGCUUUUAGAGCCAACUCAUCUCUGUUGCAAAAGAGUGGGAAGAUCUUAUGGUAGUGGUGACAUACCUAACGAGCCUACUAAUAGCUGGUUGCUUUUUAAAAGGAUCUUAGUCCAACUUAAAGUUAUUUAAAUAAUAAAAAAUUCACUUUAAAGCAAUUCAAAUAAGGUUCAGCCUAUUUGAAAAAGGAUACAACCUCAACCACUGGGUUCUCGUUCAUCACAAAAUAAAGUAGGCCUAAAAGCAGCCAUCUUAAGAAAAAGCGUCAUAGCUUAUUCCUCCUGUUUUCAUAAUUCCAAAACUUACUUUUAACCCCUCACCACCAAAGAGCAACUCUAUAUCUAUAUAGAAGAUUUCAUGUUAAAACUAGUAACAAGAAGUAGCCCUUCUCUUAAAUGUACCUUUACAUCAACAUAAACCCUAUUGAUAAUUAACGUCUAUAAAACCACAGUAAAAACACCCCAAGAAAACCCUACUACUACCAACGUUAACCUAACACAAGAACAUUUAAAGAAAGAUUAAAAGAUAAAGAAGGAACUCGGCAAACAUUAGCCUCGCCUGUUUACCAAAAACAUCGCCUCCUGUCUAAUUAUAAGAGGUCCAGCCUGCCCAGUGACAUUGUUCAACGGCCGCGGUAUCCUAACCGUGCGAAGGUAGCGUAAUCACUUGUCCUUUAAAUGAGGACUAGUAUGAACGGCUUCACGAAAGCUAUACUGUCUCCUUUAUCCAAUCAGUAAAACUAAUCUCCCCGUGAAGAAGCGGGGAUACGUCUAUAAGACGAGAAGACCCUGUGGAGCUUUAAACACCUAAAACAUUUGUACUUUUCAUAAAACCUUCAGAAAAACUUCCUUAAGCUUACUAUUUUGUUUUAAGUUUUAGGCUGGGGUGACCACGGAGAAAACCCAACCUCCACGUAGAAAGAAACUUCUUUUCUAAGCAAAAAGUCACAUCUUUAUGCAUCAAUAUUAUUGACCUAAAUUGACCCAUUAUUUGAUCAACGAACCAAGUUACCCUAGGGAUAACAGCGCAAUCCGCUUUAAGAGCUCCUAUCGACAAGCGGGCUUACGACCUCGAUGUUGGAUCAGGGUAUCCUAGUGGUGCAGCAGCUACUAACGGUUCGUUUGUUCAACGAUUAAAACCCUACGUGAUCUGAGUUCAGACCGGAGUAAUCCAGGUCAGUUUCUAUCUAUAAAGAGCUUUUUCUAGUACGAAAGGACCGAAAAAACAUGGCCAAUGCCCUAAUUGUAAGCCACCUAUUCCUAAUUUAUGUUAAAACCUUAAUAACAAAGAAUCUAAUAUUAAAUUUAAGAUAAAACUA
rnacentral:rRNA from 1 species